UACAGAGGUCUCAAGCGUUGUUCGGAUUCAUUGGGCGUAAAGGGUGCGUAGGCGGCGCGGUAAGUCGGGUGUGAAAUCUUGGAGCUUAACUCCGAAACUGCAUUCGAUACUGCCGUGCUUGAGGACUGGAGAGGAGACUGGAAUUUACGGUGUAGCGGUGAAAUGCGUAGAUAUCGUAAGGAAGACCAGUGGCGAAGGCGGGGUCUCUGGGCCUUACCUGACGCUGAGGAGCGAAAGCGUGGGGAGCGAACAGG
rnacentral:rRNA from 1 species